rnacentral:rRNA from 1 species
GACGAACGCUGGCGGCGUGCCUAAUACAUGUAAGUUGAGCGCUGAAGGUUGGUACUUGUACCGACUGGAUGAGCAGCGAACGGGUGAGUAACGCGUGGGGAAUCUGCCUUUGAGCGGGGGACAACAUUUGGAAACGAAUGCUAAUACCGCAUAAAAACUUUAAACACAAGUUUUAAGUUUGAAAGAUGCAAUUGCAUCACUCAAAGAUGAUCCCGCGUUGUAUUAGCUAGUUGGUGAGGUAAAGGCUCACCAAGGCGAUGAUACAUAGCCGACCUGAGAGGGUGAUCGGCCACAUUGGGACUGAGACACGGCCCAAACUCCUACGGGAGGCAGCAGUAGGGAAUCUUCGGCAAUGGACGAAAGUCUGACCGAGCAACGCCGCGUGAGUGAAGAAGGGUUUCGGAUCGUAAAACUCUGUUGGUAGAGAAGAACGUUGGUGAGAGUGGAAAGCUCAUCAAGUGACGGUAACUACACAGAAAGGGACGGCUAACUACGUG